GCGCGCCCUCUGGCGGCGCCGCCCCUUCUCUCAUCCCUGGUUCUAUCCCCGCCAGACCGGGCGCCCAAGAUCCCGGUGCUCCGCGGACCCCGGGCCGCGUCAUCUGCGAGGUCUCCAGGCGCCGUCGUCUCCGCUGGCCACAGCGGGAUGGGCCUGAGUCCGGGUGCCAGCGGGGAGUACGGGAUCCACCUCUCCAGGGUCCCAUGGCCGCGCCCCAAGUUCACCUUGAGGCCCAGCAGUACCGGGUCAAGUGACACCCAACUUGCCACUGGACAGUCAACCGUGUCCCAUCCAGAGCCAGCGAGAUCUCAAGCGCUGUUGGUCCAGCUCCUGCCAAAGCGGUUCAAGCAAGGCUGCCGGUUAGAGCAGGACAAAAGCUUGCCUCAAGGAGAGAAGCCGGUAAUUAACUUGGAGAUCACGUCCAGCAACAAGAGCACAGAGCUGAUUUCAACACCUAAUUUGGAGAUCGAAGGCAAACUAAAAAGCCAAGCAGCAGAGGAGCAACUUGUAAUCCCCAGUAAGAACAAACCAAGACCUAGACCUGGAGACCUGAUUGAGAUUUUUCGAAUUGGCUAUGAACACUGGGCCAUCUACGUGGAAGAUGAUUGUGUGGUUCACCUGGCUCCCCCGAGUGAGGAGUUUGAGGUGGGCAGCAUCACGUCUAUCUUCAGCAACCGUGCUGUGGUGAAGUACAGCCGGCUGGAGGAUGUACUGCACGGCUGCUCUUGGAAGAUCAACAACAAGCUGGAUGGGAUAUACCUGCCCCUCCCAGUGGACAAGAUCAUGCAGCGCACAAAAAACAUGAUCAACAAGAUAGUGCAGUACAGCCUGAUCGAGGGGAACUGCGAGCACUUUGUCAAUGACCUCAGAUACGGCGUGCCCAGGAGCCAGCAGGUGGAGCAUGCUUUGGCGGAGGGAGCGAAGGCUGCAGGUGCUGUCAUCUCAGCAGUGGUGGAUAGCAUAAGACCCAAACCUCUAUCUGCUUGAAGAUGCUGCGAAGUCUGAGUGCAGGAAGAGCCCCCAGCAACUGCAGGGCAAAGAUUACUCCUUUCUUCCUCCUCGCCUUCCUCACUCAGUGGCCCUGUUUAAGAAGACUGAGUUUCUGGAAGAUUGGAAUGUGCUUAAUUACCUCCUUUGACAUUUGUCCACUAUAGCUGAUGAAGACCCCCACACCCUCAGCAGGGGAGGAACUGAUAACUGAUGAAUAUUCAAAAUAUGUAAGUCGGUCUCCACUGUGUGAAUGAAGGAGUGAUUCCAAUGGAAGAUCUGAAAUUGUUCCUGUGGGUUUUAUUCCAUGAACUGAAGUCACCCAAAAAGGCUAGAGAUGGGUUCUCCUAUGACUCUAGAAGGGCCUGGAAAACGUGGACGGCAUGCACCAACAAGAUGGAGCCCUUAAACUGUUUGAGAACUUAGGCGGGGCUUGCUGGGGGGGUCUUUGUCCUGAUGGAAGUAAACAGACACAAUGUAACACUGGCGUUGUCCUCCAUCCCUUUCUCAGCAACCCAAUGCUGACGAUUCCUUCAGCUUCUUGAAUACUGGAGCCUGGGUAUAUUUCUUGGUUGGAGUUUCCUCUGCCCUUUUCCACCAGCCCGUGUACUGGGCCUGGCGGUCCUGGACGCUUGUAUUCGGACAAGCCCUCAUUUCUGCGCAUCAUGACUAGCAAGAAGCCAGCAGCCGUGGUUCCCUUCUCCGUCCACCCGACACCUGGGAGAUAAACUGGGCUCCCAAUACCCCUUUUGGUCUCUUAACUCAUGUCUAUGUCAGGGCUUCCUCUCAGGCAGAACCUAAGCACCCGGCCUCUACAAGCCCAUCCCCUUCAGCUUUAAACUAACACUGUCGUGUUUUAGUGGACUCCUUAAUGAUUCUGAACUCUUAGGCCGAAUUGAUGUCUAAUAAGCAAGCAGGGAAUUCUUUGAUUAACGAACAGCUCCCCCACCAUAAAGUGUUUAGUGACUCAGAGUGAACUCACCCACUUCUUGCUCACUGCUCUGGCUCUCUGGUGUGAACCCCAUGGACAAAGUAUAUCAUCAAUUAUGUGCCCUCAUCCAUUAAAAAACCAUGAUUUUGA